rnacentral:rRNA from 1 species
AUGAGUAAUGAUGCCUUCUUAAUUUGCUCCUGGAACGUACGUGGUCUUGGCGAUAACGAUAAAUGCUCCGACGUUCUCUCCGAACUGGUGACGACUAAGCCGCAUAUAACCCUCUUGCAAGAAUCAAAACUCGAAACUCUCCCUGAUUCUAAAUUAAAAUCCUUUCUGCCACGAACACUUGAUCAAGCUUUCUCGCUGCCAGCGGUCGGUUCCGCGGGUGGUACUAUCUCUGCCAUCAACUCUGCCUUUUUCCAAGUCGUUUCUUACUCACAUCUAACCUUCUCCUCUACCCUACUCCUACAAUCAACUGUGUGUGCCCAACACAUUGCCAUCACCAACAUCUACGCUCCAUCAUCAUGUUCACUCAAGCAAGCCUUUUUAAACGAGCUCUCAUCCAUCUCACAGCCCGAUGACACCCCCUGGAUUAUCGCUGGUGACUUCAAUCUCAUCCGCUUCCCCUCUGACAAAAACAACCACGCGUUCCACCACGCCGAAGCCAAUGCCUUUAACCAAACCUUAGAUGAUCUAGCUCUCAUCGAACUACCCCUACUUGAUCGCAGGUUUACCUGGUCGAAC